rnacentral:misc_RNA from 1 species
GUGAAUCAUCGAAUUUUUGAACGCAAAUUGCACUCUCCUCGGAGAGUAUGCCUGUUUGAGGGUCAGCCUAUAAAAAAACCACCAUCGUUCCGGUUUCGCGUUGGGGUUCGUCGGAAUUUGGGCCAUCUUAAAUCUUUUGUUUUUAACCGCCUUAAAUUUUCCUUUUGGUUUCCUUAAACGUUCCUAGGAUUUAUUCCUUUACACGUUUA